AUGGUUGCUGGGGCAAUGGCAGUCCUUCUUCCCCCCACCCCAUCCCUAGCAGUAGAACAACUGUUAAGUUGUUUGUGCUCUGGGUAUGGAGUAGAAAGAUAGCUCAGCCUAUAAAGGCUAAGGCUCAUAACAAAAGGACAAGUUGACAGCGAUCCCGUGAAUAACUCCUCACUGGUGACUGUGUAGGAAAUCUAACAUGAUUUCAGUCAUGCCUCCAUAUUGACAUUGCCAUGGAGGUUUAUCUUCAACAGGACACUGGCUGUUUCCUGAACAUGUCAGCUUACUUCCUCUUCCUGUUCUCUGCACAUGGACACUUCACUUUUUCACAAUUUCGCUGGCAGCGUUCAGGAUCUGUUGGGAACAAAGUCAUGGGCUCAGAAUGUACUCGUCGCCAACGGGGUCCAUAUGGUCAUCCCAGGGUACGAGGACGGCAGGAGCAGAGCAGGCGAGAAG